AGCAGGGCUCAGUGGUAGAGUGCUGUGUCUAGAAAGCACAAGGCCCUGAGUUCAAAUCCCAGAACUGCUA
rnacentral:tRNA from 1 species